GAUGAACGCUGGCGGCGUGCUUAACACAUGCAAGUCGAACGAUGAAGCCCAGCUUGCUGGGUGGAUUAGUGGCGAACGGGUGAGUAACACGUGAGUAACCUGCCCUUAACUCUGGGAUAAGCCUGGGAAACUGGGUCUAAUACCGGAUAGGAGCGUCCACCGCAUGGUGGGUGUUGGAAAGAUUUAUCGGUUUUGGAUGGACUCGCGGCCUAUCAGCUUGUUGGUGAGGUAAUGGCUCACCAAGGCGACGACGGGUAGCCGGCCUGAGAGGGUGACCGGCCACACUGGGACUGAGACACGGCCCAGACUCCUACGGGAGGCAGCAGUGGGGAAUAUUGCACAAUGGGCGCAAGCCUGAUGCAGCGACGCCGCAUGAGGGAUGACGGCCUUCGGGUUGUAAACCUCUUUCAGUAGGGAAGAAGCGAAAGUGACGGUACCUGCAGAAGAAGCACCGGCUAACUACGUG
rnacentral:rRNA from 1 species